GAUGAACGCUGGCGGCGUGCUUAACACAUGCAAGUCGAGCGAAGCAGUUAAGAAGAUUCUUCGGAUGAUCCUUAACUGACUGAGCGGCGGACGGGUGAGUAACGCGUGGGUGACCUGCCCCAUACCGGGGGAUAACAGCUGGAAACGGCUGCUAAUACCGCAUAAGCGCACAGAGCUGCAUGGCUCGGUGUGAAAAACUCCGGUGGUAUGGGAUGGGCCCGCGUCUGAUUAGGCAGUUGGCGGGGUAACGGCCCACCAAACCGACGAUCAGUAGCCGGCCUGAGAGGGCGACCGGCCACAUUGGGACUGAGACACGGCCCAAACUCCUACGGGAGGCAGCAGUGGGGAAUAUUGCACAAUGGGGGAAACCCUGAUGCAGCGACGCCGCGUGAGCGAAGAAGUAUUUCGGUAUGUAAAGCUCUAUCAGCAGGGAAGAU
rnacentral:rRNA from 1 species